CAAGAGCUCAGGAAUGAAGGCUUUUAUGUAACUGGCUGUGCUGUUAGUCUCCGCGCCACGGCGCCACGAGCGAGACAGAGGGAGCAGCUCGGCCGCAGGGGUGCCCUUGCCACGUCGCCUGCGCCUCCGCCCCCACCGUCUUUACCCCCUCUUUGCGGAUACCUUUAAAGUCUCGGUUUCCAGGUCUGCUUCAGCCUCUCUGCCUCAGCUGUGUACCACCUGAUUUUCUCAACAUUUUUGUCUCUACCAAGAGGAGCACUAUUAUCACUGCCGUUGUUACCGCCGUCUGCGGUAUCUAAGUGACAUCUACAACGGGGCCUAGGACCACACCGGGUUUCCGCGGAUGCACAUGGCAGGGUGAAGCCUGAACAGGGACGAGGACUCCUGGGUCGUUUCUAGGCACCUCGUGUGCCCACCAACCGCCCUACAGAAAGGCCAAGUCGGGACGCACGAGUUGGAGACCGUCUCCAGCGCUGACUCAUCCUGCGGCGUGCGGCACUGGACCGCCCCUCUCGUGGCCGCUGCCUCCCGUGUGGGCAACUUGGUAGAAACGCAGACACACCUGACUUACAUCUGUUACCCUGACGUGUGCGCAGAGGGCGACAGAAGAGAGGUGCUGCUGCAGUUCACCUGGGCAGGCGCAGCCGGGGGGAGGCCGAGCCUACGAAAGAAGAUGGUGUAAACUUUCAUCAGCUCAACACCAUCCAAGUUAAAGCCCUCUCUUCUGAAGUUACGCACUUCCAGCAUUUUCCGUAUCAGAACAGCCUUCCUUUCAUGAAACGCCGGCAUAAGUGGAUUCGGAUUUUUUGUCAUGUUUUCCAUUAACGUCCACCUCUAGCAGCCUUGUAACAGCUCCCAACCUUUUUUUUUUUUUUUUAAUUUCAUUGGUCCAUGAAAUCAAUGCCUGGGAACCCCAUGUGCCCCCUGCCUCUGAGGUGAUCACAAAUUCC